UGGCUGCAGUCGAGAAUCUUCCGCAAUGGGCGAAAGCCUGACGGAGCGAUGUCGCGUGAUGGAUGAAGAGCUUCGGUUUGUAAACAUCUUUUAUGCGGGAAGAACGUUGACGGUACCGCAUGAAUAAGGGGUUGCUAAACUCGUGCCAGCAGCAGCGGUAAUACGAGUACCCCGAGCGUUAUCCGGAUUUAUUGGGCGUAAAGCGUGCGCAGACGGUUUAUAACAUCUCUUGUUAAAUCCCAAGGCUCAACCUUGGGGCCGCGGGAGAUAUGGAUAAACUAGAGGCUGGAAGAGGUAAGCGGAAUUGCUGGUGUAGGGGUUAAAUCCGUUAAUAUCAGCAGGAACACCAAAAGCGAAGGCAGCUUACUGGAACAGUUCUGACGUUCAGGCACGAAAGCGUGGGGAGCGAAUGGGAUUAGAUACCCCAGUAGUCCACGCCGUAAACGAUGAAUGCUAAGCAUUGGGAGUUUCGACCCUCUCAGUGCUGUCUACCUAAGUUAACACCUUAAGCAUUCCGCCUGGGGAGUACGGCCGCAAGGCUAAAACUCAAAGGAAUAGACGGGGACCCGCACAAGCGGUGGAGCAUGUGGUUUAAUUCGACGAUAAGCGUGGAACCUCACCAAGGUUUGACAUAUAGCUGCAGACCCCUGGAAACAGGGGAGCCUUCGAGGGUGCUAUACAGAUGCUGCAUGGUUGUCGUCAGCUCGUGUCGUGAGAUGUACCGUUAAGUCGGGAAACGAGCGCAACCCCUACCCUAUGUUUUACGUGUCAUAGGGAACUGUCUGCUUUAAGCAGGAGGAAGGUGGGGAUGACGUCAAAUCAGCAUGGUUCUUACACCUUGGGCGACACACGUGCUACAAUGGGAAGUACAAAGGGACGCCAAACCGUAAGGUGGAGCAAAUCCCAAAAAACUUCCCUCAGUUCGGAUUGAGGGCUGCAACUCGCCCUCAUGAAGCUGGAAUCGCUAGUAAACGUGGAUCAGCCAUGCCACGUUGAAUACGUUCUCGGGUCUUGUACUCACCGCCCGUCACACCAAGAGAGUCGGAGGCGCCCGAACCCGCUAUUGCAGCGGGGAAGGUGAAGCCGAUGAUAAGGGUGAAGUCGUAACAAGGCAUCCGUAGCGGAAGCUGUGGAUG
rnacentral:rRNA from 1 species